rnacentral:rRNA from 1 species
GAUGAACGCUGGCGGCGUGCCUAAUACAUGCAAGUCGAGCGAACGGACGAGAAGCUUGCUUCUCUGAUGCUAGCGGCGGACGGGUGAGUAACACGUGGAUAACCUACCUAUAAGACUGGGAUAACUUCGGGAAACCGUAGCUAAUACCGGAUAAUAUUUUGAACCGCAUGGUUCAAAAGUGAAAGACGGUCUUGCUGUCACUUAUAGAUGGAUCCGCGCUGCAUUAGCUAGUUGGUAAGGUAACGGCUUACCAAGGCAACGAUGCAUAGCCGACCUGAGAGGGUGAUCGGCCACACUGGAACUGAGACACGGUCCAGACUCCUACGGGAGGCAGCAGUAGGGAAUCUUCCGCAAUGGGCGAAAGCCUGACGGAGCAACGCCGCGUGAGUGAUGAAGGUCUUCGGAUCGUAAAACUCUGUUAUUAGGGAAGAACAUAUGUGUAAGUAACUGUGCACAUCUUGACGGUGCCUAAUCAGAAAGCCACGGCUAACUACGUG